CGCUACAAUGUUCACCCGAUGCCCCAAAGGAGGCACAAAGGCGAAAUAUGGGACAGCAACAUCAUUGAAUCCACUAGUGUGGGUAUGCAACACAGGAACCCGACAUUUGCCCACUUACAAAACAUUCACUUGGGCUAGGACUGAAAGGAUCGCGGGGAAGCAAUUCGAUGCGCGAGCACGGAGCCUGCCUACCCAAACGAUCGUGAUACGACUCAUGCACCACCACGUACAAUGAGCAACAAUUCCAAUCAGCGAACUACAACCCCCAACAAGCAUGUUAUGCCCGUCAAGCAUUGCCGAAACACCGAAUGAAACAGCUGCCCCC
rnacentral:lncRNA from 1 species